GAUUCCCAAAACAGAUUGAUCAGCGUCAGAGAUGACAUGUAGGAUGCCAAAUUUAAGGGUAACUGGUUGUUACAAGAGAACAGAAAGAGCAGUACCGAAGAUAAACACAACGCACAAAGCAAAGGCAUUUUCUUCCACUUCAAUAGAACUCCUAUGCCAAAAUAGGGCGGGGAGUUGUGGAUGUCACAGUGCCAUUAACAGCAAACCCUAGUGGCAUGAGUUUGUCUAUAUAACAAACUGCACAUGUACUUCUGAAUCUAAAAUAGAAGUUUAAAA